rnacentral:rRNA from 1 species
GACGAACGCUGGCGGCGUGCUUAACACAUGCAAGUCAAACGGUAAGGCCCUUCGGGGUACACGAGUGGCGAACGGGUGAGUAACACGUGGGUGAUCUGCCCUGCACUUCGGGAUAAGCCUGGGAAACUGGGUCUAAUACCGGAUAGGACCCUGGGAUGCAUGUCCUGGGGUGGAAAGCUUUUGCGGUGUGGGAUGGGCCCGCGGCCUAUCAGCUUGUUGGUGGGGUGAUGGCCUACCAAGGCGACGACGGGUAGCCGGCCUGAGAGGGUGACCGGCCACACUGGGACUGAGACACGGCCCAGACUCCUACGGGAGGCAGCAGUGGGGAAUAUUGCACAAUGGGCGCAAGCCUGAUGCAGCGACGCCGCGUGGGGGAUGACGGCCUUCGGGUUGUAAACCUCUUUCAGCACAGACGAAGCGCAAGUGACGGUAUGUGCAGAAGAAGGACCGGCCAACUACGUGCCAGCCGCCGCGGUAA